CCUACGGGAGGCAGCAGUCGAGAAUCAUUCACAAUGGGGGAAACCCUGAUGGUGCGACGCCGCGUGGGGGAAUGAAGGUCUUCGGAUUGUAAACCCCUGUCAUGUGGGAGCAAAUUAAAAAGAUAGUACCACAAUAGGAAGAGACUGCUAACUCUGUGCCAGCAGCCGCGGUAAUACAGAGGUCUCAAGCGUUGUUCGGAACCACUGGGCGUAAAGCGUGCGUAGGCUGUUUCGUAAGUCGUGUGUGAAAGGCGCGGGCUCAACCCGCGGACGGCACAUGAUACUGCGAGACUAGAGUAAGGGAGUGGGAACCGGAAUUCUCGGUGUAGCAGUGAAAUGCGUAGAUAUCGAGAGGAACACUCGUGGCGAAGGCGGGUUCCUGGACAUUAACUGACGCUGAGGCACGAAGGCCAGGGGAGCGAAAGGGAUUAGAUACCCCUGUAGUC
rnacentral:rRNA from 1 species